rnacentral:lncRNA from 1 species
CCGAGAAAUAAUUAGCUAUAGCCUAAAGUAUUUCCAGACUGCAAUGUGUGUUUUUUGCAGCGCCUCUGAAGAUCACCAAAACCAUCCAGCAGAGGCCUGUGGGAAUGACCAGCGGGAUCCGCUUCAGCGUUCCCCGUGCCGCCGCUCCGGUUUCACCUGCUGCUGAUGAUGAUGAUGAUGAUGAUGAUGAAGAUGGAGCUGUGAUACCCAACAAACAGAUGAAGAUCACUACAGCUAACAACCUGCAGACACGAGUGAGACUCACACACACAAACUCACACACACACUCUCCCACUCACGCUCACACGCACUCUCACACACAAACUCACACACACACUCUCACACUCACGCGCACACACACAAACUCACACACACACUCUCACACUCACGCGCACACACACAAACUCACACACACACUCUCACACUCACGCGCACACACACGAACUCACACGCACUCUCACACACACGCUCACGCACACACACGAACUCUCACACACACACUCAUGCUCACACACGAACUCUCACACACACACUCAUGCUCACACACGAACUCUCACACACACACUCAUGCUCACACACGAACUCUCACACACACACGCCUUCACACACACACACGCUCACGCACACACACGAACUCUCACACACGCACUCUCACACACACACACGCAUUCACACACACACGCACACACACGCUCACGCACACACACGCUCACGCACACACACGCACUCUCACACACACGCUCACGCACACACACGAACUCUC